AUGAAUACCAAAAAUAAUAAAAUUACAUCCAGAUCCUUAGACCACCUAGCGACAACUACAAGAACGGAAGCAAGCCGAAGACGCCCCGUCAUCAUCGCCCCUCCCUCCCUAGAGCCGGGCAAAAUUGUUGUAGUAGACAGUCGGAAAGUCGUCCUGCUAAGGCCCUAUAGGACCAACGCACUAGAACAGCAAUCGCCGUCGUUGAAGAGAAGCUUAAAUCAUAACGAUCCAACAUGUAGACACACAAACAAAUACCGGAUCCACAUGGAUCCAUCGAAGACAAACGUCGACCGAAUACCACGAGAUCCGCCGAAGACAAACCUCCACACAUCCUCCGAUGACUCUAGAAGCACCACCGGGACAGGGGCUAGGCGGGGAGUAUCUUAUUCCAUCUCCAGAGAGCCAUCGCCGCCUCAUCUUUCUGAGCAGGACAGAAUCCCUAAGAAAACUCAAAAAAAGCAUCUAGAAAUGAAGCCCUCCAACCGGCAAGGGCUAAGAUCGAUUCACCACAUCACCAUGGCCAGGCAGACUAGCGCAUGCGAGAGGUAG
rnacentral:rRNA from 1 species